rnacentral:rRNA from 1 species
GACGAACGCUGGCGGCGUGCUUAACACAUGCAAGUCGAACGAAGAGCGAUGGAAGCUUGCUUCUAUCAAUCUUAGUGGCGAACGGGUGAGUAACGCGUAAUCAACCUGCCCUUCAGAGGGGGACAACAGUUGGAAACGACUGCUAAUACCGCAUACGAUCUAACCUCGGCAUCGAGGAUAGAUGAAAGGUGGCCUCUACAUGUAAGCUAUCACUGAAGGAGGGGAUUGCGUCUGAUUAGCUAGUUGGAGGGGUAACGGCCCACCAAGGCGAUGAUCAGUAGCCGGUCUGAGAGGAUGGACGGCCACAUUGGGACUGAGACACGGCCCAGACUCCUACGGGAGGCAGCAGUGGGGAAUCUUCCGCAAUGGACGAAAGUCUGACGGAGCAACGCCGCGUGAGUGAUGACGGCCUUCGGGUUGUAAAGCUCUGUUAAUCGGGACGAAAGGCCUUCUUGCGAAUAGUUAGAAGGAUUGACGGUACCGGAAUAGAAAGCCACGGCUAACUACGUG